UAUUGGGUUGGUGCAAAAGUAAUUGCAGUUUUUGCUGUAUUUUUAAUGGCAGAACCACAAUUACUUUUACAUCAACCUAAUA
rnacentral:miRNA from 1 species